GCGGGCGUGGCGGAAUUGGUAGACGCGCUGGGUUUAGGUUCCAGUGACGAAAGUUGUGGGGGUUCGAGUCCCUCCGCCCGCA
rnacentral:tRNA from 1 species